GUAGCUGUGACAAAUGCCCCUGUGAGGAGGGAGACACAUCAGCACACUGCCAACAGUGUGAAAAUUGUUCGUACUGCUACAUUUGUCCUUUGAUCUGUGAGACAGUCUGCCAGCCAGGAAGGAUGCUUCAAACAUCAGUGGAAUUCUUGACAUAGUGAGCGGUUCUCUCUACCAGACCGUGAGUAUAUUACUCUGAAUACUCUUCACAGAACAGCGAACUACAGACUAGAAGUCAAACCAUUCAUUUGUAGUCGUAUAGGAAGUUCGGUAGGGAAGAUCUUGGAACUUUAGCUUUGUGUCCAACAUUGGGAGUGAACUUGGAC